rnacentral:lncRNA from 1 species
CCUGCCAAUAGCUGCAUAUCCCACAGAACCACUCUCACUUCACUCUCCUCCCAUGGCAGCACCCACUCUACUCAGCAGACACCUGCUGCCAGCCAACCCCAGUGAGGAAUCCAGUUCCGAGCAGGAGCCUGAGCCAGAGGAGAACUCCCUGCAAAGCAUCCUUGCCCUCCUCUCUUUGUACUGCAUGACAUGCUGCAAUGUCAAAUUUUCCGGUAAGAGGAUGCCCUCCAGGCUCUCCCUUCAGUCCCUGACCACCAUGGAGAUGUGAGGCUGGCGUGUUCUGACGUGGGGAUGGCAAGCUGAGAUCAACCCAGGCGACCAGCUCCUUUACACCUCAGGGCAGGGGAAGGGGGCUCCAGAGGCCAGAUGCCCACCAGGCCCUUUCACGGGCAGCCUUCAGAGUGGCAGCAGCAGCGUCCUCUAGUGGCCCCAAACUCUCUCCACGCUGUGCCUGCCCCACCUGCCUUCCAGAGUGGCCCGCAGUGUCCAGGGCAUGAGUGAGUAUGUUUGUCUAAAGCCCCCCUCAAUCCACACAGGAUUUGAACCCAGUAAUACAAGUAAACCACAGCUAUGUGCGGUGUGUUCAUGUGUCCACAAAGCCAAGGUUAAGCUCUAGAUUGCUGCUGUCCAGAGAAACACAAGGCGAGCCGCAUAUAUAACUGUAAAUGUCCUUGUAAAGGAAAAGGAAACAGAUGGAAUUAAUUUUGAAAAUAUAUUUUAUUUAACCCAAUACACCACAAUACUAUCCUUUCAACAUGUAAUCAACAUAAAAUUGUUAAUGAGAUAUUUUAUGUCUUUUUCAUUCCAAGUCUUUGAAAUCCGAUAUGUAUUUUACAGUUGUGGCAUAUCUCACUUAGAACACUAAAUUUUCAUCAGAAAUACUGAUCUGUACUUCAUAAAAUUUACAGCUGAAAAAGCAGAUUCACAUACCUGCAUUUCUCCAACUUUAAAAGUUUUCCAUUAACUGAAUCAAUAAUAGUUUUGAAAUUUAAAUGUAAAUUAAUUAAAACUAAAUUAAAUCAAAAAUUCGGUUCCUUAGUCACACUAUUCACAUUUCAAGUGCUCCACAGUCCCAUAUGGCUAGUGGCUCCUGAAUUGGACAGCGCAGGACUGGGUCAUGAAAUCAGUAGGAGGAAUACAGCAUGCCCCUGUGAAAAUAAAUCACACUCACUGUGCCA